CUAGAAAUGUACAAAAUACCUCGAUGAGUAUUCCCCGAAUCUCUUGACGUGUCACGAUUUGCCAUUAUUCCGCCCGAGUAACUCAAUUUUACAGUAUAAUCUCGCAAUGUAAACUCUUAUUAAGUACAGUAAAAUCCCCAUUGUUUACCAAGUUGAGGCCAGUGUAGUGUUGCUCCAAGCGUUCGAAGACGAAUUGUUUACGUCUACAUUUCUUGUACGACAGUUGAUCUCUCCUUUUGUAUUGAUUUAGAUUCAUCAUGGCUUGUACGCGCUCCGACAAACGCAUUUAAAAUAGCGUGUAUUUCAUGAGAUAUGUAAGCUAAUACCAAGUGUUUUGGACAAAGCACUGCGAAAUGCCAAAACUAUGAACGUUUUAAAAGCGUCGUCGUGGGUUCUUGUCAACCAUUUUGAAAACAUUUGUACGUACAGCCGCUGAUUGUUGUUUAUAAAGGACAGGGGGCUCCAAAAUAGGGAAAAAAUUGCGCCAAAAUCAAAUUUAAAUCCAGUGAAAUUCAAUAUAUUUUGAUGUACUUUUGUAGUUUUGGACUUAGAAACUAUUGUGUUCAAUCAAUUAAAAGAUUGUAAAUAAGGAAAUAGUUGCCACAGUCUUUAACUGAUAUAAAUUAGCUCCGAAGUUCGCUUGAGAUGCCUUUAAUGUCUGGCUGUAUUAUGCUGACGUUGCAGAAUUUAGCGAAUUUCUGCGCCCGCAGUAUAUUUCGCCGAGUGUCCCUCAUUUCUGGCCAUGUAA